GCACUGGUGGUUCAGUGGUAGAAUCCUUGCCUUCCACGUGGAAGACCUGGGUUCGAUUGCCAGCCAAUGCA
rnacentral:tRNA from 1 species